UCGACUUUUAUUCCACUUGGGGAUCCUUAUCCUAUCAAUAGAUUCCCAGUUUAGUUGCAAACUGGCAGAAGGAGUUAGACAUCUUGCUCUAAAGGCCGACAUUUUAUAAUCGAUUUAUACUGUAAAAGCAAUAAAUCGAUGGACCGAAAGCAAUGUAUUAUUAAAAACAGUCUGCUUACAUUCCCUGCGGAGCGACAACGUUUCGAUUUCAGUAAUUCUAUUUUCCUACUUUUACCACCUUUAAUCUUCUUCCCCUAAAUGGAGAUGGAUACUAACGCUUCUAAUUAUAACUGAGACUACGAGGAAAUUCUUCUAAGUUGUCCUAAAAUACCAGUUGAAGGUACCAAACAUCACGUCAAGCAUUAGGAAGCAAAUUGGUUCAAAGGACCUGACAGGUCGCAAGCAGUAUCGAAAUCUCCCAGAAGGGCAGCUUCUGACAGUUCUGAAAGCUCGGCCAGUGUGCGACAUGGCAUAUAAAGAAUAGUUAGAAGAUUUUCGUCAUCACUACCAUUUAUGCUAGCAUCAUGUCUGUACCCGCACGGAUUUGCUCGCACGCCGCGGCGAAGGAACGAUUUGCGGGCUUCGAUUCCCGCCCUAACCACUCAAUGGCGCUUCGUUUCACACAUUUUCAACCGUGUGAAAAUCCACUACUGGCUAUUUAGCAACGUAUCAUAGUCGAAGAUACGUAUGCGUACGUUUAUGGUAACAGGGUUGCGUGUCGGAGUCAAAGCAAAAAUCGCAUAGGAGACAAUUUGUGGCGACAAGGGAACUCGGGCAGCGAAAACAACAAUAACAAUAAAAAAAGGCAAUAUCAAAAGCAUCAGUAACAACGCACAAUCUACAGCUAUCACAAACAAGCAAAAUCUUACUUUUUUAACAAGCGAAAAAUUAUUUUCGUAUAGAUUCCCUUUUGCUGUUGAAAUUUUCAGUCUCUUCGA